GUUUGAUUCCCAGUUUCCUGCUUUUGACAGCUGAAAUUAUUUGUUUGGCCAUACUGUGAACUGCGAUGCAAGGCAGAAGUCAUUGUUUUGUCUGACAGGCAGCUUUGCUUGUUCCCCGUAACAACCUUCACACCCCCUCCUCCUGUCUGCAGCAGGAGGCCUGUGUAAUUACAUCCAAACCAUUCCCCUCUCCCUACGCUUGAUAUCACCGCUGACAUCCACUUGCACGGCCCCUCCUCUCGCGCUCUCUCUCUCUCUCCCUCUCGCCCCUCUGAAUCUCUGCUGUUGGAGAGCUCUCUGGCAGACAGUGCGCAGUCCUGCCUCGUCUUCAGUUGUCUGUAGUGCAGCGGAGCAGGUGGAGAAGGAAAAGAAACGGGGGAGACAGAGGGGAGAGCAGAGUAUGGCAGACAGCUGGAGAAGGAACUGUUAUCCAUGUGAAUAAUGGAAGAUGGCUGACUUAUACGCUGGGAUAUUUAUUCAAAGAACAGUAGAAAAACUGAUGCCUCAGUGUGUCGGAAAGUAACAAGAUUCAAAAAGCGAUCUUCGGGACAACACUAUUCACGCGCAACAUAAGUUCACUGUUCACUGACAGUUGCAGGCGUUUACUGGAAUCAUAAGCAGUGUUUUGACAAUACAGACUAUUGUGAAAUCAUCACUGGGAGAAAGUGCUGCGAGCCUCCUCUGUAUGUCGGAGCACUGGUGUGUCACCCUAAAGAAGCUAUCAGGAAAAACAGAACCUUGAGGAGCAAACAUUCAUAUCUUAAGUGACACAUGCAAGCCAACUUUCCUGUGCUUGUCUUCUCUAAAAAUUCUGCACAAUACAGUGUGCGCUUUGUGGAAGGGAACACUCCACUUUGAUGUUCAUAUUACAUAUUAAUUUUAUCCCACAAUAAUUACCAUAAUUAACUAUAUGAUGGAGAUAUAUGUUAAGUUCUUGUGUGGACAUCACCUCCUAUAGAUUCAUGCUUUCUAAAUAAAUAUGCUGCUGCUUGGUCUUACUAAUGAACUAAGGACAUCAAGGAGCCAACUUAAAAGCUCAAAUUUAGGUUAAACGUCACUGGGAACUGCUGUCCAGUCUUAAAUAUGGAAUCAGAAGGAAGCACAGGACUGUCCACAGCUGCACUGGUGGCCAUCGCCUGCAACACCUUUGUUGCCAUCCUCCUUCUCCUCCUCUGUCUAAUCCUCUACCGAGCCUGCAGGGUUCCUUCUAGCCCAGAGAGGCAGCCUGUGCUGGCUCCAAGUGAAGCAGAAACCCAGCAGAUGAACGAGCAGAAGUACCUGUUAACCUCCUGACUGAUGAAGAAUGAGUCAAAUGUAGCAACAAGCUAUGACCUCAGCGUACUCCUCCACAGGAGAGGGAAGUGAAGGAGCACUGAGCCUGACUGCAAGCAAUAACGAAGCUUGUCCUCUCCUAGUGUCAAAAAAAAAAAAAAAAAAAAAAAAAGAAA